rnacentral:rRNA from 1 species
GACGAACGCUGGCGGCGUGCCUAAUACAUGCAAGUCGAGCGGACCAAAGGGAGCUUGCUCCUGGAGGUUAGCGGCGAACGGGUGAGUAACACGUGGGCAACCUGCCUGUAAGACUGGGAUAACAUCGAGAAAUCGGUGCUAAUACCGGAUAAUAAAAAGAACUGCAUGGUUCUUUUUUGAAAGAUGGUUUCGGCUAUCACUUACAGAUGGGCCCGCGGCGCAUUAGCUAGUUGGUGAGGUAACGGCUCACCAAGGCGACGAUGCGUAGCCGACCUGAGAGGGUGAUCGGCCACACUGGGACUGAGACACGGCCCAGACUCCUACGGGAGGCAGCAGUAGGGAAUCUUCCGCAAUGGACGAAAGUCUGACGGAGCAACGCCGCGUGAGUGAUGAAGGUUUUCGGAUCGUAAAACUCUGUUGUUAGGGAAGAACAAGUGCCGUUCGAAAGGACGGCACCUUGACGGUACCUAACGAGAAAGCCACGGCUAACUACGUGCCAGCAGCCGCGGUAAAGUC